CGCACGGGUGAGUAACACGUGAGUGACCUGCCUUUUAGACUGGAACAACUUACCGAAAGGUGAGCUAAUGCCGGAUGAGUUAUAUAAGUGCAUGUUUAUAUAGGAAAAGUUGGGGAGACCUGACGCUGAAAGAUGGACUCGCGUCCCAUUAGCUAGUUGGUAGGGUAAUGGCCUACCAAGGCGACGAUGGGUAGCCGGCCUGAGAGGGUGGCCGGCCACACUGGGACUGAGACACGGCCCAGACCCCUACGGGAGGCAGCAG
rnacentral:rRNA from 1 species